UUAAAUUAAAUUAUUGGUUGUAGCUGGUCUUCGUGAGAUGACAUGUGCACACCUUUAAAACUCAUUUACCCCUUGUGCACAUUUUGUAGACUUUGUUGUCUACGUUUUCUUACACACACUAUAAAGUUUAGAAUGUUUGGUUUUGGCAAUAUUUAUACAACUUUCAACAAUGGAUCUCUUGGUUCUCGCAUCGAUGAAGAACGCAGCGAAACGCGAUAAGUAAUGUGAAUUGCAGAAUUCAGUGAAUCAUCGAAUCUUUGAACGCACCUUGCGCACCUUGGUAUUCCAAGGGGCAUGCCUGUUUGAGUGUCAUUAAAUUAUCAAUCACUUUUUUCUUUUUUCAGAGAAAAAAAAGAUGAUUUGGAUGUGGAGUGUUGCUGGCUGUCAAAGUCAGCUCCUCUUGAAUGCAUUAGCGUGUACACUUUGUGAAUAGGCUUUGGGUUGGAGAGUGAGUAAAAUCAUAUCUCUCUAUGCCAUCGCUGUGAAGCAAAAAGUCAGCUGCGAAUACAAAAACAUAAUGAACACUUGGCCUCAAAUCAGGUAGGACUACCCGCUGA
rnacentral:misc_RNA from 1 species